ACCGAGUUUGAUGAAUACUUGGGAAGGAAAACAUUUAUGAGCAGUAAUGGAGCAGUCACUUAGGGCACACCUACUUCUUUGUGAUUUGAAUAAUCUAUUUCCACCCACCCAGCCCCCCACUGUCAGCCACCCUCAACAAUCUGGGGAAUCAAAUUAAUCUUCAAUUAUGCGGAAGAAUCUCAGGACCGAGCACAGCUCAAGUUACCAAGUAACUUGCUACUGUGGAAAGAUUCAUGCUGAAAGCAGCCUCAGCCCUGGACUUUUAGUAAUUUCUCCUCCCUCCCCAAAAAGGGUGUUUUGAAGAGGGUGAAGGAAAAGGACUUUGAAAGGAAAAACAGACAUCUAAGUGGCUGUCUCGUGUAGACCCUUCUGUGACCCCACACUGAAUACUUCUAAUGGACAUGUGUGAUCUUGGAGACUUCUCUGCAAUAAAAAAGUUUUAAACCUUCAA